UGACAAUUUAUUUGAUCUUGGGUCUUCUAAGAAAGAAGGCUGGUAUAAUCAACAAAGAGUUCCUUUCCUCUAUGAAGAAACAAGAGGUGGUGUAGUAGAAUACAAAUCACUGUAUGAAAGUUUGAAUUCAGGUCUUCUU